AUAUUAAUCGGUAGAACAACUUGUCGUCUGAUAGGUUCAGGCGUCUAUUGUAAAUGAAUGAAUAAUCAGUCUUCUGGUUCUGUCUCGGUUACAGAAUUAGAGCAGUUACGAGAUGAAGGUGUUUCACAUGUUGAGGAAGGCAGCUCACAAUUCGAGAUCCUUCUCAAGCUUCGUGGGAUGGCAGGCAACCAGUAGGGGGCGCACUGUCGGGUACUGCACUGGAACUCUUCUGGUUGGUGGCGUCGCUCUCUACCAUGCCCAGCACCACAAGGUAUAC